rnacentral:tRNA from 1 species
GCAUUCGUGGUGUAACGGUAGCACACUCGGCGCGUAUUCAAGAGGUCCAGGUUCGAUUCCCGGUGAAGGCA